rnacentral:rRNA from 1 species
AUUGAACGCUGGCGGCAGGCCUAACACAUGCAAGUCGAGCGAGCGGCGGACGGGUGAGUAAUGUCUGGGAAACUGCCUGAUGGAGGGGGAUAACUACUGGAAACGGUAGCUAAUCCCCCAUACAAUAGGAGGUGCCCCGAUGGGAUUAGCUAGUAGGUGGGGUAAUGGCUCACCUAGGCGACGAGCCCUAGCUGGUCUGAGAGGAUGACCAGCCACACUGGAACUGAGACACGGUCCAGACUCCUACGGGAGGCAGCAGUGGGGAAUAUUGCACAAUGGGCGCAAGCCUGAUGCAGCCAUGCCGCGUGUAUGAAGAAGGCCUUAGGGUUGUAAAGUACUUUCAGCGAGGAGGCGUUACUCGCAGAAGAAGCACCGGCUAACUCCGUGCCAGCAGCCGCGGUAAUUC